AACGUAGGGGGCCAGCGUUGCUCGGAAUUACUGGGCGUAAAGGGUCUGUAGGCGGUGCGGCAAGUCGGAAGUGAAAUCGCAGGGCUUAACUCUGCGGCUGCUUCCGAAACUGCCGUGCUCGAGUGUGAGAUAGGCGAGUGGAAUUGCAGGUGUAGCGGUGAAAUGCGUAGAUAUCGUCUGGAACGCCGAAGGUGAAAACAGCUCGCUGGGGCUGCGCUGACGCUGAGACACGAAAGCCAGGGGAGCGAACGGG
rnacentral:rRNA from 1 species